AACGAACGCUGGCGGCAGGCCUAACACAUGCAAGUCGAACGCCCUAGCAAUAGGGAGUGGCAGACGGGUGAGUAACACGUGGGAACCUUCCCUAUAGUACGGAAUAGCUCAGGGAAACUUGAAGUAAUACCGUAUACGCCCGAGAGGGGAAAGAUUUAUCGCUAUAGGAUGGGCCCGCGUCGGAUUAGCUAGUUGGUGAGGUAAUGGCUCACCAAGGCGACGAUCCGUAGCUGGUUUGAGAGAACGACCAGCCACACUGGGACUGAGACACGGCCCAGACUCCUACGGGAGGCAGCAGUGGGGAAUAUUGGACAAUGGGCGCAAGCCUGAUCCAGCCAUGCCGCGUGAGUGAUGAAGGCCUUAGGGUUGUAAAGCUCUUUUAGCAGGGAAGAUAAUGACUGUACCUGCAGAAUAAGCUCCGGCUAACUUCGUGCCAGCAGCCGCGGUAAU
rnacentral:rRNA from 1 species